GAUGAACGCUGGCGGCGUGCCUAAUACAUGCAAGUCGAGCGAACAGACGAGGAGCUUGCUCCUCUGACGUUAGCGGCGGACGGGUGAGUAACACGUGGAUAACCUACCUAUAAGACUGGGAUAACUUCGGGAAACCGGAGCUAAUACCGGAUAAUAUAUUGAACCGCAUGGUUCAAUAGUGAAAGACGGUUUUGCUGUCACUUAUAGAUGGAUCCGCGCCGCAUUAGCUAGUUGGUAAGGUAACGGCUUACCAAGGCAACGAUGCGUAGCCGACCUGAGAGGGUGAUCGGCCACACUGGAACUGAGACACGGUCCAGACUCCUACGGGAGGCAGCAGUAGGGAAUCUGGCGCAAUGGGCGAAAGCUUGACGGAGCAACGCCGCGUGAGUGAUGAAGGUCUUCGGAUCGUAAAACUCUGUUAUUAGGGAAGAACAAAUGUGUAAGUAACUAUGCACGUCUUGACGGUACCUAAUCAGAAAGCCACGGCUAACUACGUG
rnacentral:rRNA from 1 species